GGAUUGUGGCUCAGCGGUAGAGCGCUCCCCUAGAACAGGCGGGGCCUGGGUUCGAUCCUCAGCACCA
rnacentral:tRNA from 1 species